rnacentral:rRNA from 1 species
AUGCGUAGGUUACAUGCAUCAACCAAUGCAGAGGCUGUGGUAUUUAACACUUUUAUUCGGAGAAGAAAUAAAAGGACAGGUACAGCGUAUAAUCACAGACCGAGUGAUACACGACGCCGCAGCAUACAAGCGUGCACGACGAUCUUCUUGUUGGAGAAAGCGUAUUUCACACAGACGACAGAAAGUAAACGCACACGUGCACCGAGACUCGGUCACCACCGCUCAGAGCAGCUUCACCAGCUCCGGCGCCACCUUCAGCGAUGCCUGCACCACCUGUGGAGUCAGGCCGCCGAAAAUCGAGCCCUCCCCGAUCAGGUGCUCCACCGCCGGCCAGCCCUGGCGCUCUUGAUCAGCGAGACCCACUCCACUCCAUCGGCGCCGGCGGCGACGAGCGCCACGGCGAACCGCGGCACGACGAACAAGCUCCCCGCAGCGACAUCCUCGUCCAGCAGCAGCGUGUCGCCGCCCACGGCGGACGAGACCUGGACGCGCGCGCUCCCGCGGGCCACGUACACCGCCUGCGCCGCGCCCUCGCGGAGCACCCACGGCGCCCUCGCGGCGCCGGGCUCGAGCCGUCCGAGCACCGCGCUGAAUCCGAAGCCGCCCAGCGCGUCCAGAUCCGACGCGGUGAGCAUCUUCAGGGUCCCUGCAGCGACGUGGCCGGCGUUCACGACGAGCCCUUUCCUGUCGUGCUCUCGCGGGCACACGCCGGGCAGCUUCGCGCUCAGCCUGGUGAGGAGGACGGCCGGCUGGCUCCGGAACGCGGUGGCCGCCUGCUCCUCCGUGACACCAGGCCACGCCAUGGUGAGGAGGCCCGCGUCGAAGCCGCUCAGGACGCUGUUGCCGCCGGCGAGGAAGAAGUAUGAGAUGUCCCCGGGGCUGACGGCGCGCGCCGUGUCGCCUAUGAACAAGAUGGACAAGUCAUCAGCGCUGCCUUCGUUGUCGUUGUCGUUGUACCACCACGAUACGUCCCCAGUGCGCACGGCGAUGACGUCGCCGGCCUUCAGGCGGACGACCCUCUCCUUGGCCUCGACCGGAAGGACCCCAGCCACCCCGGAGCCGCUGAGGACGUAG